rnacentral:pre_miRNA from 1 species
CAUCUUACUGGGCAGCAUUGGAUGUUCUCUGUUUUUCUAAUACUGCCUGGUAAUGAUGAU